rnacentral:lncRNA from 1 species
CAGAUUUCUUCCGGUCAAUGCCGGUCAACGGUAUUUAACAGUUAAUAACUUUUAUUCUAGACAUCAAAUAACCCUGAUUCUUUUUGCAGAUUAAAGACCACAUUACAGGCUACCAAUAACAACUUAAAACCAACUAAAACCAUAAUCGAGCAAGGAUCUGUGGUCACUGACAUUCGUUGUCAGACCACAGAUUCAACUUUUUCUAGAUUUUGCAAAUCUUCAAAUUCGAGCUUCUAAAUGUUAUGGAUCCAACAUCUAGCAACCCAGAUCAUCAUUAGACACUACUAACAACACAUUUAACACAAAAAAAC